UGGUGGUGGAGACACUGGUGGUUCUGCUAAGGCUAGUUCUGGAGGUAAAGUUGAAGGAGGUGGUGGAGACACUGGUGGUUCUACUAAGGGUGGUAUUGAAGGUAUAUUUGAAGGA